AAUAUAUAAAUAUAUUAAUAUAAAUAUUAUUUUUAUGAUAAUAUAUUUAUAUUUAAAUUUUAUUAUAUAAUAUAAAUUAAUUAAAUUUGAUAUAUUAUUUAUUUUAUUAAGUUUUAUCAUUUAUAUAUUAAUAUUUAAUUAUUUUAUAUUAUAUUAAAUAUUAUAUAUGUAAAAUUAUUUUUUCAUGUAUUAUAUAUUUUUUAAUUUGUAUUGAAAUUUGUACUAUUAUUNUUUCUAAAUAUAUUUAUAACCUUACAAGGCUUUUUUAUUCCCCUCUUUUUUUUUCCCUUUUUUUUUUUUAUAUUUUUCCCCU
rnacentral:lncRNA from 1 species